UUGAAGACCCACUUACACCCUAUGGGUUUAACCCCUUCAUAUGGGUCAACUAAUGUCUAUACAUCAUUGACCUUCAUGGACUCUAUUUCAGAUUUUAUGGCUUCAAACCAUUUAUAAGAGUCGAACCUCUUUAUUGUAUCCAAAUAGGUGAUCAGAUCCUCAUUGUUCUCAUCGAGUUCAACAGGAUCCCUGUCCCAGACCAAAAAAUCAUAGUAUCCAUUCGAUUGA
rnacentral:lncRNA from 1 species